GAUCCUGGCUCAGGACGAACGCUGGCGGCGUGCCUAACACAUGCAAGUCGAGCGGAGACAGUGAGUAGCUUGCUACGAACUGUUUUAGCGGCGGACGGGUGAGUAACGCGUGAGCAACCUUUCCCAGACAGGGGAAUAACACACCGAAAGGUGUACUAAUACCGGAUAGUAUCGAGAGAUUGCAUGAUUACCCGAUUAAAGAUUCAUCGGUAACGGAUGGGGAUGCGUUCCAUUAGGCAGUUGGCGGGG
rnacentral:rRNA from 1 species